rnacentral:rRNA from 1 species
AGCGUACACGGUGGAUGCCCUGGCAGUCAGAGGCGAUGAAGGACGUGCUAAUCUGCGAUAAGCGUCGGUAAGGUGAUAUGAACCGUUAUAACCGGCGAUUUCCGAAUGGGGAAACCCAGUGUGUUUCGACACACUAUCAUUAACUGAAUCCAUAGGUUAAUGAGGCGAACCGGGGGAACUGAAACAUCUAAGUACCCCGAGGAAAAGAAAUCAACCGAGAUUCCCCCAGUAGCGGCGAGCGAACGGGGAGCAGCCCAGAGCCUGAAUCAGUGUGUGUGUUAGUGGAAGCGUCUGGAAAGGCGCGCGAUACAGGGUGACAGCCCCGUACACAAAAAUGCACAUGCUGUGAGCUCGAUGAGUAGGGCGGGACACGUGGUAUCCUGUCUGAAUAUGGGGGGACCAUCCUCCAAGGCUAAAUACUCCUGACUGACCGAUAGUGAACCAGUACCGUGAGGGAAAGGCGAAAAGAACCCCGGCGAGGGGAGUGAAAAAGAACCUGAAACCGUGUACGUACAAGCAGUGGGAGCACGCUUAGGCGUGUGACUGCGUACCUUUUGUAUAAUGGGUCAGCGACUUAUAUUCUGUAGCAAGGUUAACCGAAUAGGGGAGCCGAAGGGAAACCGAGUCUUAACUGGGCGUUAAGUUGCAGGGUAUAGACCCGAAACCCGGUGAUCUAGCCAUGGGCAGGUUGAAGGUUGGGUAACACUAACUGGAGGACCGAACCGACUAAUGUUGAAAAAUUAGCGGAUGACUUGUGGCUGGGGGUGAAAGGCCAAUCAAACCGGGAGAUAGCUGGUUCUCCCCGAAAGCUAUUUAGGUAGCGCCUCGUGAAUUCAUCUCCGGGGGUAGAGCACUGUUUCGGCAAGGGGGUCAUCCCGACUUACCAACCCGAUGCAAACUGCGAAUACCGGAGAAUGUUAUCACGGGAGACACACGGCGGGUGCUAACGUCCGUCGUGAAGAGGGAAACAACCCAGACCGCCAGCUAAGGUCCCAAAGUCAUGGUUAAGUGGGAAACGAUGUGGGAAGGCCCAGACAGCCAGGAUGUUGGCUUAGAAGCAGCCAUCAUUUAAAGAAAGCGUAAUAGCUCACUGGUCGAGUCGGCCUGCGCGGAAGAUGUAACGGGGCUAAACCAUGCACCGAAGCUGCGGCAGCGACACUAUGUGUUGUUGGGUAGGGGAGCGUUCUGUAAGCCUGUGAAGGUGUGCUGUGAGGUAUGCUGGAGGUAUCAGAAGUGCGAAUGUUGACAUAAGUAACGAUAAAGCGGGUGAAAAGCCCGCUCGCCGGAAGACCAAGGGUUCCUGUCCAACGUUAAUCGGGGCAGGGUGAGUCGACCCCUAAGGCGAGGCCGAAAGGCGUAGUCGAUGGGAAACAGGUUAAUAUUCCUGUACUUGGUGUUACUGCGAAGGGGGGACGGAGAAGGCUAUGUUGGCCGGGCGACGGUUGUCCCGGUUUAAGCGUGUAGGCUGGUUUUCCAGGCAAAUCCGGAAAAUCAAGGCUGAGGCGUGAUGACGAGGCACUACGGUGCUGAAGCAACAAAUGCCCUGCUUCCAGGAAAAGCCUCUAAGCAUCAGGUAACAUCAAAUCGUACCCCAAACCGACACAGGUGGUCAGGUAGAGAAUACCAAGGCGCUUGAGAGAACUCGGGUGAAGGAACUAGGCAAAAUGGUGCCGUAACUUCGGGAGAAGGCACGCUGAUAUGUAGGUGAAGCGACUUGCUCGUGGAGCUGAAAUCAGUCGAAGAUACCAGCUGGCUGCAACUGUUUAUUAAAAACACAGCACUGUGCAAACACGAAAGUGGACGUAUACGGUGUGACGCCUGCCCGGUGCCGGAAGGUUAAUUGAUGGGGUUAGCGCAAGCGAAGCUCUUGAUCGAAGCCCCGGUAAACGGCGGCCGUAACUAUAACGGUCCUAAGGUAGCGAAAUUCCUUGUCGGGUAAGUUCCGACCUGCACGAAUGGCGUAAUGAUGGCCAGGCUGUCUCCACCCGAGACUCAGUGAAAUUGAACUCGCUGUGAAGAUGCAGUGUACCCGCGGCAAGACGGAAAGACCCCGUGAACCUUUACUAUAGCUUGACACUGAACAUUGAGCCUUGAUGUGUAGGAUAGGUGGGAGGCUUAGAAGUGUGGACGCCAGUCUGCAUGGAGCCGACCUUGAAAUACCACCCUUUAAUGUUUGAUGUUCUAACGUUGACCCGUAAUCCGGGUUGCGGACAGUGUCUGGUGGGUAGUUUGACUGGGGCGGUCUCCUCCUAAAGAGUAACGGAGGAGCACGAAGGUUGGCUAAUCCUGGUCGGACAUCAGGAGGUUAGUGCAAUGGCAUAAGCCAGCUUGACUGCGAGCGUGACGGCGCGAGCAGGUGCGAAAGCAGGUCAUAGUGAUCCGGUGGUUCUGAAUGGAAGGGCCAUCGCUCAACGGAUAAAAGGUACUCCGGGGAUAACAGGCUGAUACCGCCCAAGAGUUCAUAUCGACGGCGGUGUUUGGCACCUCGAUGUCGGCUCAUCACAUCCUGGGGCUGAAGUAGGUCCCAAGGGUAUGGCUGUUCGCCAUUUAAAGUGGUACGCGAGCUGGGUUUAGAACGUCGUGAGACAGUUCGGUCCCUAUCUGCCGUGGGCGCUGGAGAACUGAGGGGGGCUGCUCCUAGUACGAGAGGACCGGAGUGGACGCAUCACUGGUGUUCGGGUUGUCAUGCCAAUGGCACUGCCCGGUAGCUAAAUGCGGAAGAGAUAAGUGCUGAAAGCAUCUAAGCACGAAACUUGCCCCGAGAUGAGUUCU